rnacentral:lncRNA from 1 species
UAAUAAUACUUAACAAACCUAGUAUUAUUUUAAUAAUUUUAAUUUGUACCUAAGAAAUCCAAUAAUCCAAUUUUUUUUUGUACAUAAUAAUACCUAGUAUUCAAUUCAAUUAGCCCAAACCUGUUUCAAUCUCGUAAAACUUUAUAAAACCAAAAUAUUAAAUUUUACACAUUCAAAAUACAAAUAAAAAGCAUAAGAAAACUGCCUUUGCCCACAAAAUCAUUCCCUAUCACAUCCCCUCCAAACUACUUAUGCACAGAGUUCCACCUACACACUGUAACAUACAAGCCAAGGAACAUGAUUAAUAAUUGAAUACAGAACAUAUCCAAAUCCAGAUGAGCCACCAAGACAUACGCUAACCACCAAGCCUUCACAUAUAAAAUCCAGAGUAUUAAAAAGUAGAUGAGGUAAUGAGUAAGUAACUAAAUGCUAUGAAAGUAAGUAAUACCUUCAGCUAAUGUAUCUAAAGCAAGAUCAGAAAAAAUGCUUUCAAGGGGUCCAUUAACAACUCUGUAACAGGAAGAAAGAAUAAAAUCAACAGAAGUCGUGCAUAGUAAUAUUGUUACAUGGGAUGCCUCUUUUCCCUAUUCUAGUAUCUCUCUUAAU